GUUCCUUGGAAAAGGACAGCUGAGAGGGUGACACUCCCGUCCGCCUGGUAGAGUGAGUCUUUGUCGACGAGUCGAGUUGUUUGGGAUUGCAGCUCUAAUUUGGUGGUAAAUUCCAUCUAAAGCUAAAUAUUGGUGGGAGACCGAUAGCGUACAAGUACCGUGAGGGAAAGAUGCAAAGAACUUUGAAAAGAGAGUUAAAGAGUACCUGAAAUUGCUGAAACGGAAGCGAAGGAAACCAGUGUUUGUUGGUUCAUAUUUCCCUUGUCACUUGUGAUGUGGGCGCUGUGAGCUUGCGUGGGUUUGCUUUGGUUGAUUCCUUUGGAAGAGCGCAGUCAGAGUUGAUGUCU
rnacentral:rRNA from 1 species